AUUGAACGCUGGCGGCAGGCUUAACACAUGCAAGUCGAGCGGAGAUGAGGUGCUUGCACCUUAUCUUAGCGGCGGACGGGUGAGUAAUGCUUAGGAAUCUGCCUAUUAGUGGGGGACAACAUUCCGAAAGGAAUGCUAAUACCGCAUACGUCCUACGGGAGAAAGCAGGGGAUCUUCGGACCUUGCGCUAAUAGGUGAGCCUAAGUCGGAUUAGCUAGUUGGUGGGGUAAAGGCCUACCAAGGCGACGAUCUGUAGCGGGUCUGAGAGGAUGAUCCGCCACACUGGGACUGGAACACGGCCCAGACUCCUACGGGAGGCAGCAGUGGGGAAUAUUGGACAAUGUGGGGAACCCUGAUCCAGCCAUGCCGCGUGUGUGAAGAAGGCCUUAUGGUUGUAAAGCACUUUAAGCGAGGAGGAGGCUACUGAGAUUAAUACUCUUGGAUAGUGGACGUUACUCGCAGAAUAAGCACCGGCUAACUCUGUGCCAGCCGCCGCAGUAAAAC
rnacentral:rRNA from 1 species